rnacentral:rRNA from 1 species
CUAAACUGAGGGAGGUACGUCGAAACUGAUUGGCUCGAGGAACGUAGAGGAAGGCGGAACUCUCGGAGUAGCGGUGAAAUGCGUAGAGACCGAGAGGUACCCCGAUGGUGAAGACAGCCUUCUGGGCGUUUCCUGACGCUGAAGCGCUAAGGCCAGGGGAGCGAAGGGGAUUAGAUACCCCCGUAGUCCUGGCUUCAAACGAUGUGGGCUUGGUGUCGGCUCCCGACAGAGAGUCGUUGCCGGAGUUAACGCGUUAAGCCCACCGCCUGGGGACUACGUCCGCAAGGAUGAAACUCAAGGGAAUUGACGGGGGCCCACACAACCGGUGGAGCACGUGGUUUAAUUCGAUGAUAAGCGAAGAACCUUACCAGGGCUUGACCUAUCGGUGGUAGAACCCUGAAAGGGGAACGACCUCAAGCUUUGCUUGAGGAGCCG